rnacentral:lncRNA from 1 species
CUCCCGCCGCCCCCACCACCAAAACAAAGCGCUGUUUCUAAUUUGGGGUGUUUGGAAAUCAUUUUCCAUCCCGGCUUCCAAACGAAACCAAAAAAGACAUUUGCUUUCCAGAGCACCGCGGAGGGGUCAGAGCUCUGCGGGAGAGCGAAAAGCCGCGGGAAAAAACGAGUGCUGCACCCCCACACCCAUUUCCAAGAAAAAUAAAAUAAAUUACAAGAAGACAAUGCUGUUAAAUAUAGAGCAUAAAGCACAGCUCGGCACCAUUCAUCAUUCGGGGGGUGUUUUCGCCAACAUCUCCCCGGCGGAUCCUGUUGGCUGUUGCAUCCCCAGGGGACGCGUUGCGGGCGUGCUGAUGCUGGCCCGGGGAGCAGCAGAGGGGCGGUGGGAACCCCGCGGGUGCCUCCGCCGCUGUGUGAGAGCUGCUGGAAAAUCAUAGUCCUCUCCCGAGUUAAAUUCAGCCCUGGGAGCGCCGUCGGGCCGCGUCCCGGCGCGGUUUGUACAGCCAGAGUGGGGUGGAAAAAAGGAAAAGCCUUCAAGGUGAGGAAAGCGCUGUGGGAAGGUCGGCAUCCCAGGUGCUUUCGUGGGGAGAGUGAGGAGGAGCAUCCGGCACGCCGCAAAACAAGUGUUUUUCCAUAAGUUGCUGGUGGAAAGAGCAGAUCAGAGCAGGUAGCUGCGUCCUGCACGGGGGUCCCCAGCUCUGGGGUCUCUGAUAGGAGCCUCAUGGGUGGGGGAGGGUGCUUGGAGCAUCACCCCACUGCGAGGCUCCAUUCUGCCCAGGGUGAGGCAGGGAAACCAAACUGGGUUCGUGUCUGCAAGGCUUCAAUGGAGAACCCCAAGACAUGAAAGGUCUCCAGGCCAUGGGGCGGCAUCCUGGUGGUGGUUGGACAUGGAGCUGUGUUGGACACGGAGCAGUGGUGGAGAUGGAGCAGUGGUGGAGAUGGAGCACUGUUGGCCAUGGAGCAGUGUUCAGUCCACAGCAUCAGGGCAGGAUUUCCCACCCUUCCCAGCUCAAUUCCUGUGAGCAUUUCUCAUGGACACCCAACGUGUGCCAUCACUGGACUCACAACUUCUCCUCAUCUCCUCCCCACCUCCAUCUGCCCCCGAAGUGCUGCACAGAGCACUGGGAGGGCCCCGAGGAGGAAAAAAAAAAUAGAAAAUAAUCAGAACUGUUUAAAAAAAAAAAAAAAAAGCCACUGGAAACAAACAAACAGCUCUGAUUUAUCGCUCACGAGAAGAAAUGGUGCAUGUUGGAAGCAAGCACAGGAAGUCCUGGGGACAAUAAAUCCCGCACGGGAGCAGAGAACCAACACAGUUCCACGUUCGGGAACGCAGCGAGGAUAUGGAGACAGCGGGAGGGUGAAGGGGGGGAAUUUGGGGUGGGACCCCAAAGCAGAGGGGUGCGGAGCUGGGAGCGCUCUCCCCAUCACCUCGAGUUUUGGGAUGGAGCCCAGGUGCCGGCAAAGGGAUCCGCCGGGACCCCCCGCUCUGAUGUGGCCGUGUGAGGACGGGGAGCAGCGGGGCUCCGUCCCGACCUCAUCACCCGCGGAACACCAGCAAUCCUGGCUGUGCUGUGGGUACAGAAACAGCACGUCCCCACUGCUGGCCGGGGCUCCUGGCAGCCCCAGGGAGGAUUUGGCUGCGCAGGAAUUUGGAAGCUGCCUGAAAUCCCGAAGAAAUGAGGGAAGGCUGAGGAGUGUCGCUGUGAUGGAGGCUCAGCCCCGCCACGGCAGCUUGCAGCACCCCACGCAUGGCGCCGGCAGCAAACUGGGAGCUGUGGCUGUGGGAUAUCAUCCCCUCUUCUAUGGGGACACCGCAGGGGCUCCCCAGGACCCCCUGACCCCAUUCCCCCCCCCCCCCCCCCAUGGCUGGGGGUCACAUUUGUUGCAUCCUUUGGGAUGAGGCAGAAAACACCACAGCACUCAGUGCCCCAUCUCCGUUUCAUUGUCCUCCCCGCACCCAAACGUGGUUUGUUUUUAGCCCGGGAAGGCGGUGGGGUGGGGGGGAGGGAUGAGGCUGAUUAUUAAAUGCCAUCGGCUCCAAUUAAUCCCCCAAAUUGACUCAGAGGUACCACGGCGCCCAUUCCGGUGAAUGUUUUGCCAUCUUUCAGUGCUGCUCUGCAGAUCCGACCCAUAGCAGCCAUGGACAGACCCAACGGAUCAGAUGUGAUCCCAAACGCGAUGGCAGUGAGCCCGGGCUAGGAAAGCAGAGAUCCCAAACCCACCCCGUUGGGCACAUCGUGCUGCACCAGCGCCGCUCUGCAGAAGGCAGCUGGAGGCUCUGCCCCUAUCCCAGCGCCGGCUGUGGGGGAUUUACCAGCACCAGCACGGCCCUUUGCUUUGCUUUCCGAACGAAAGUAAAGCGGAGCAGUUUGCAGAAGGUUCUCAUUAGGGAAACAUCUGGAGUCAGCCCUUCUCCCCCAAAGGGCAGCGGAGUGCUCGGAGGAAUCGGGGGAGGAGGAGGGAUGGAUGGCUGAGGCGUGUUUCGGCGUGCUGCCGGGGCAGGGACCCAAGGAAGGUCCCAGCAGCGCUCCCAGCAUCUGUCCCAGCGCCCGGGGGUGCCCGGAUCUGUCCGCUGGGAUGGAUGGGGCUGUAGUGACAUCUGCUGGGCUCUCACUGGGGAAGUCCCGCGGAACCCGCACGGCACGGACCCUCCGGCGCCGCACAGACCCGGAUGGCAGCGCUUCCCCUCGUCCUGGGAGAAACGACGGAUGUCUGACGGCCGCGGUGUGCCCCGACGUGCCGCCGUUGCUGCGAGGGCGUCGCUGUCCGUAUACGGUGACAAAACCAAACUGGGACCCAUCCGUGAGCGCAGCGCGCCCGCAGCGUCCCGCUGCCCGCAAGGGGCUCUGCUGGGAGCGGAGUGCUGCACGGACAGCGGGGUGAUGGAGUGGGGACGGCUGUGGUCACAGCCCCCAUGGAGAGGGCAGGGGUGGCACGGUGCUACUGGGGGGCGGGAGAGACCUGGAGCUGGAGAAACCC